CGAGUUAGGGUCUUCUCAGGCCCGACCUCCCAACCCUUUGUUUACCCGACCCAUGUUGCUUCGGCGGGCCCGCCGUUUUCGACGGCCGCCGGAGGACCGCCUAUUCAGGUCCUCUGGCCCGCGCCCGCCGGUAGCCAAUUCUACCAAACUCUUGAAUCAAAUCGUGUCCAAUGUCUGAGUAUAUUACAAAAUAAAAGCAAAACUUUCAACAACGGAUCUCUUGGUUCUGGCAUCGA
rnacentral:misc_RNA from 1 species